CUAGAGAAUGGUGCCACCCACAGUGGGCUGGGUCUUCCCACUUCAAUGAACUUAAUUAAAACAAUCCUCUUUGGACAUGCUCGCAAGCCAACCCACUACAGACAAGACUUCAUGGAGACUCUCUUCCAGGGACUCACAGAGGCAACCAGAGCUGCCACACACACCAAAUCUUAGAUGUUGCAAGUAACAGUCACGGAUGAUUUGAUGGCAUCUUUAGCCAAUUACUCUUCCUAAUUUUGAGCCUGCUGUUCACCAAACUCAAAUGUUGAGCCUUUACCUAUAGUGGAAUCAU